rnacentral:snoRNA from 1 species
UAAACUGAUGACUGCAUAGUUCAACUGAUCAUACUGAUGACAUACUGUAAAUUAGUCUUUCGCUCCUAUCUGAUACAUUUA